rnacentral:miRNA from 1 species
UGCUGAAACUCUGUUCAACCC